UUGUACAAGACCACUGACCUACUUUAUCUCACAUGUGAGUGGUAUUAUUUCUUAAGUGCCAUACAAAUAACUGAAGAUUAAUUAGCAGUAUAAACAGUAAUGCUGCCAGUCUCCUUCAGUCACGC
ensembl:snoRNA